GCCUUGGCAUUGGGAGCCGAAGAAGGACGUGGUUAACUGCGAAAAGCUACGGGGAGUCGUAAGCAGACAUUGAUCCGUAGAUGUCCGAAUGGAGCAAUCCGCAUGGAGUUAGUCCAUGCAUCCAUAAGUGAAUUCAUAGCUUAUGGAGGGGAACCGCCUGAACUGAAACAUCUAAGUAGGGCGAGGAAGAGAAAUCAAACGAGAUUUCGUAAGUAGUGGCGAGCGAACGCGAAAGAGGCUAAACCAAGAGAAGAAAUUCUUUUGGGGUUACGGACUGCGAUAUGUAUCUGAGGACUUAGCAGAAUGGUAUGGGAAAGCCAACCAGAGAAUGUGAUAGUCAUGUAUGCGAAAAGGAAUCAGAGCUAGCAGGAUCCAAAGUACCGCGGGACACGAGGAAUCCCGUGGGAAGUCGGGGGGACCACCCUCCAAGCCUAAAUACUACCCAAUGACCGAUAGCGAAAAGUACUGUGAAGGAACGGUGAAAAGAACCCCGGGAGGGGAGUGAAAAGAACCUGAAACUUUAUGCUUACAAGCACAUAGAGCACGUCAAAGUGUGAUAUGGUACCUUUUGUAGAAUGGUCCGGCGAGUUAUUGUAUGCAGCAAGGUUAAGGUCUUCAGGACUGAAGCCGAAGCGAGAGCGAGUCUGACAAGGGCGAUAAGUUGUAUGCAAUAGACCCGAAACCGGGUGACCUAGCCAUGUUCAGGUUGAAGUGGAGGUAAAGCUCCAUGGAGGACCGAACCGACCUCCGUUGAAAAGGCGGCGGAUGAAAUGUGGCUAGCGGAGAAAUUCCAAUCGAACCCGGAAAUAGCUGGUUCUCCCCGAAAUAGCUUUAGGGCUAGCGUUGUAUUAGAUUUCUGGGGGUAAAGCACUGAAUAGGCUAGGGGCCGAGAGGUUACUGAACCUUAUCAAACUAAGAAUACCAGAAAAUUGAUGUACAGCAGUCAGACUAUGUGAGAUAAGUCUCAUAGUCAAAAGGGAAACAGCCCAGACCCACAGCUAAGGUCCCAAAACAGAUUUAAGUGGAAAAGGAUGUGGGAUUGCCCAGACAACCAGGAUGUUGGCUUAGAAGCAGCCACACAUUAAAAGAGUGCGUAAUAGCUCACUGGUCGAGUGAUCCUGCGCCGAAAAUUCAACGGGGCUAAAAUUUGUACCGAAGCUUGGGCUUGAUACUUCGUAUCAGGGGUAGGGGAGCGUCAUGUAUGAGGUGAAGUCAUAGCGGAAGCGGUGGUGGAUUGUACAUGAGAGAGAAUGCCGGAAUGAGUAGCGAGAAUUAUGUGAGAAUCAUAAUGGCCGAAAAUCUAAGGUUUCCUGAGGAAGGUUCGUCCGCUCAGGGUAAGCCGGGAGCUAAGGUGAGGCGGAAACGCGUAGCCGAUGCACAUACGGUAGAGAUUCCGUAGCCUCCGAAAAGUAAAGCACAGGGACGCUUCAGAAGUGUUACGCCGGGCGAUGGUUGCCCCGGUUGUAAAGGACACAAUUGAGUGGAAGGUAACAUGGAUGGAGACAAGAAAAGCUGUGUGUAUCUGGAAGGAGCCCGUACCGCAAACCGACACAGGUAGAUAGGAAGAAGAUUCUAAGGCCAGCGGGAGAAGGGUUGUUAAGGAACUCGGCAAGUUGACCCCGUAACUUCGGGAGAAGGGGUGCUUACGAAGGUAAGCCGCAGAGAAUAGGCCCAAGCGACUGUUUAGCAAAAACACAGCUCUAUGCUAAAUCGAAAGAUGACGUAUAUGGGGUGACACCUGCCCGGUGCUGGAAGGUUAAGAGGAGAUGUGAGAGCAUUGAAUUGAAGCCCCAGUAAACGGCGGCCGUAACUAUAACGGUCCUAAGGUAGCGAAAUUCCUUGUCAGGUAAGUUCUGA
rnacentral:rRNA from 1 species